rnacentral:pre_miRNA from 1 species
GCCUAGCGGCCAUAUUGUUUCCUUUACUCCUUAUCGUUCCCGCGCCCAGCUGCCAUGUUUGAAUAAUGCUGGACGGAGAACUGAUAAGGGCUUAUGGGAACACCUUGCAC